UACGUAGGGUGCAAGCGUUGUCCGGAAUUAUUGGGCGUAAAGAGCUCGUAGGCGGUCUGUCGCGUCGGCUGUGAAAACUCGGGGCUCAACUCCGAGCUUGCAGUCGAUACGGGCAGGCUAGAGUUCGGCAGGGGAGACUGGAAUUCCUGGUGUAGCGGUGAAAUGCGCAGAUAUCAGGAGGAACACCGGCGGCGAAGGCGGGUCUCUGGGCCAUAACUGACGCUGAGGAGCGAAAGCGUGGGGAGCGAACAGG
rnacentral:rRNA from 1 species